AGAGCGAACGCUGGCGGCAGGCCUAACGCAUGCAAGUCGAGCGCCCGUAGCAAUACGGGAGCGGCAGACGGGAUAGUAACACGUGGGAACGCGCCCUUCGGUUCGGAAUAACUCAGGGAAACUUGAGCUAAUACCGGAUACGCCCUUACGGGGAAAGAUUUAUUGCCGAAGGAACGGCCCGCGUCCGAUUAGCUAGUUGGUGAGGUAAUGGCUCACCAAGGCGACGAUCGGUAGCUGGUCUGAGAGGAUGACCAGCAUCACUGGGACUGAGACACGGCCCAGACUCCUACGGGAGGCAGCAGUGGGGAAUAUUGGACAAUGGGCGCAAGCCUGAUCCAGCCAUGCCGCGUGGAUGAUGAAGGCCUUAGGGUUGUAAAGUCCUUUUAACGGGGAAGAUAAUGACGGUACCCGUAGAAUAAGCCCCGGCUAACUUCGUGCCAGCAGCCGC
rnacentral:rRNA from 1 species